UUCUUGCUUCAGGGUUGGGUGAAAUUCCCACUCGGCGGUAAACCCCGCGACUCAUUGAAUAAUGACUGAUAAGGUGAAAUUCCUUAGGCGACAGUAAAGGCUGGUAUAAAGAGGCUAUAU
rnacentral:ncRNA from 2 species